UCGCCAGGGAACUACGAGCAAAGCUUAAAACCCAAAGGACUUGACGGUACCCCACAUCCACCUAGAGGAGCCUGUCCUAUAAUCGAUACCCCCCGCUAAACCUCACCACCUCUCGCCCACUCAGCCUGUAUACCUCCGUCGUCAGCUUACCACAUGAGCGCAAUUUAGUGAGCUUAAUGCCCAUACGCCAACACGUCAGGUCAAGGUGCAGCAAAUGAGAUGGGAAGAGAUGGGCUACACUCUCUAAUAUAGAAAACACGGAAGACUACUUAUGAAACCUAGUCUAAAGGCGGAUUUAGAAGUAAAAAAAAAAAUGAAUGUCCUUUUUAACUGGGGCACUGGGGUGUGU
rnacentral:rRNA from 1 species